UAGGGAAUCUUCCACAAUGGGCGAAAGCCUGAUGGAGCAAUGCCGCGUGAGUGAAGAAGGUUUUCGGAUCGUAAAACUCUGUUGUUGAAGAAGAACAUGCGUGAGAGUAACUGUUCACGUACUGACGGUAUUCAACCAGAAAGCCACGGCUAACUACGUGCCAGCAGCCGCGGUAAUACGUAGGUGGCAAGCGUUGUCCGGAUUUAUUGGGCGUAAAGAGAAUGUAGGCGGUUUAUUAAGUUUGAAGUGAAAGCCCUCGGCUCAACCGAGGAAGUGCUUCGAAAACUGGUAAACUUGAGUGCAGAAGAGGAAAGUGGAACUCCAUGUGUAGCGGUGGAAUGCGUAGAUAUAUGGAAGAACACCAGUGGCGAAGGCGGCUUUCUGGUCUGUAACUGACGCU
rnacentral:rRNA from 1 species